AGCAGCCGCGGUAAUUCCAGCUCCAAUAGCGUAUAUUAAAGUUGUUGCAGUUAAAAAGCUCGUAGUUGAAUUUCGGGAUUAGUGCGCCGGUCGUGCCUUCGGUAUGUACUGGUGUUACUGGUUCCUACCUUCUGACGAACCGUCAUGUCAUUAAUUUGGUGUGGCGGGGAAUCAGGACUGUUACUUUGAAAAAAUUAGAGUGUUUAAAGCAGGCUCGCGCUUGAAUACAUUAGCAUGGAAUAAUGAAAUAGGACGUUCGAUCCUAUUUUGUUGGUUUCUAGGAUUGACGUAAUGAUUAAUAGGGAUAGUUGGGGGCAUUAGUAUUCAAUUGUCAGAGGUGAAAUUCUUGGAUUUAUUGAAGACUAACUACUGCGAAAGCAUUUGCCAAGGAUGUUUUCAUUAAUCAAGAACGAAAGUUAGGGGAUCGAAGACGAUCAGAUACCGUCGUAGUCUUAACCAUAAACUAUGCCGACUAGGGAUCGGAUGAUGUUAUUUUAAUGACUCAUUCGGCGCCUUACGG
rnacentral:rRNA from 1 species